rnacentral:tRNA from 1 species
AAAAAAUUAGUUAAAUAUAAAUAAUAUUAAAUUGUCAUUUUAAAGUUAUUUUAAAAAAUAUUUUUUU